rnacentral:rRNA from 1 species
GACAGAGGUCCCGAGCGUUAGGCGGAAUCCCUGGGCUUAAAGCGUGUGUAGGCGGACUUCUACGUCCCUUGUGAAAUCCCACGGCUUAACCGUGGAACUGCUUGGUAUACUGGUUGUCUUGGGCCAUCUAGGGGCUACUGGAACAAACGGUGGAGCGGUGAAAUGCGUAGAUAUCGUUUGGAACGCCAAUGGUGAAAACAAGUAGCUGGGGAUGUGCCGACGCUGAGACACGAAAGCCAGGGGAGCGAACGGG